GUGCUUGAUCCUGGAGAGCAGCCAUGUUGAGAAAAAGAUAUUUUGAGCCCUAAAAUAAUGAGAAAACAGGACAGAGAGAGGUGUUCUGAGCCAGUUCCAGAUUUUGCCAACUGUUGCAAGAACUCUAGAAUCUUUAUGUUAGUAAAAUGCCAAAAAUAAAAGUCUGCAUUGAAAGAACGUCUAACCACUUACUAUAAUCCAACCUUUUAGGAAGAAUGCAAAAUGGCAUACAUGAAGAAGAGUGAAGAAUCCAGAAAAACUGGAAUUCCUACAAAGAAAAGUCUAUAGAAACGUCCCAAAAGCAAGUAA
rnacentral:lncRNA from 1 species